AUAGCAUGGAUUAUGUGUAUGAACGUAUUACUAUAAGCAAUGAACAUUGAUCCCAAAGAAUUCUCUACAAUAUUGAUUUGGGGAAGAUGUGUGUAGUUAGUUGAUUUCAUUUAACCUAUCAAAAUUUUCAACAAUCAUUGAUCUCAUCCUU
rnacentral:snoRNA from 1 species